GACUUUUAUGAUGCUCCAUCAUUCCCCAGCUAGGACCUCCCUGCCCGGGCCGGGAUAGCUGGCUGUCAGCGGUGGAGCGUAGGGUAGCGCUUCCUUCCUCCCCAUCUCUCUCUGCAUGCCAAGAUGAGUCGAAAGCCACACUGCUGAAGGAUAAUGGCUGCCUGUACCUCGCGACUGGGUUCUUGUGCUGGGUUCAAGUUCUGAUGACGAAUUGUAUUUACUUCAGAAAAGCGAGUGUGGGGCUGCUCAGACAACCAAGGCUGCCUUUCUGCCUCCCUUCUGUUGCAUUCAUGGAUCUGGACUUCAGAGAAGAAAUUUUCUUUAUGCUAGUGACGUAGCAGAUGCAUUUCUUACUAUACUGAAGAAGGGACAGCCAGGUGAAAUCUAUAACAUUGGGACAAACUUUGACAUGUCUAUUACACAACUUGCAAAGGAAUUAAUCCAUUUAAUAAAAAAUACCAGUUCAGAUGCUGAGACAGAAUGUUGGAUGGAUUAUGUAAAAGACAGGUAAGAUAUUGGUUAUUAUUAAGAGUCACUUUUAUUUUAAAUAAACAUUCUUUUCAGCUUUGUUUUGUACUCAUGUAAAAUGCGAAGUUUUGCAACUUGAGGUAGUACAGUGUGACAUCUUAUUGAGGGGGUCUAUAAUUCUUGUCUUGUCUUGUUAGCCAUCCCAAACAUUAUGGAUACUUAUCUAUGUUGAUUUGGUUGCUCUGUGAAAAGGAGACAUGGAGAUUGUCUGCACUAACCUUUCCUACUUUACCUCAAAAAACUGGUGGAGCUCCUAUCUCCUAAUCUGGAGAAACAUGGGGAUGGGGAUCAUACCAGAACUUCUGGGCUAACUCUUCUCCUCUUUCCUGUUCCAGUGUUGGGAGGAAUAUUGGGUCUUGGUUUAUUGUGUAAAAUGAAAAACUGCUUUAUGAUUUGCCUUGCUUCCACAGUCUGCAGUUCACAGGUACUCUCAUCAGAAUACAAACAUUUGAGUUUGAAAAGUGUAGGAUGAUUUAAAUCAGAAGAAAGUGUAUAAUUGUGGGG